rnacentral:rRNA from 1 species
UCAUAGCCUAUUAAAUUAUCGGAUAGUAAAAACCACAGUUAGAAACCCAAAAAAUUUGGCGGUAUUUUAUAUAAUCAGGGGAACCUGUCCCUUAAUACGAUAAUCCACGAAUAUCAUACCUUUUUUUGAAAGUCCAGUUUGUGUACUGCCGCCUAGCAUUUCUUAAAUAGCCAUACAAUAAAUAAUUUAUAUACUAAAUCAGGUCAAAGUGCAAUAAAUGAAGAGGUGGGAAGAUGGGUUACACUAAAUAUACGCAAUAAGAUUGAAAAAUUUCUAGAACUUGACAGUAAUUGAUUUUUACUAUAAAUCAAUAAAACUUAAUAAAAUAUGCACAUAUCGCCCGUCGCUCUCGCUGAAAAAUG